rnacentral:lncRNA from 10 species
AAAUUUUAAGUGUUCACAUUUAAAAUUAAAGAGGCAUUAGCGGCUGUGAAACCAGACAGUGCAUAUUCUAGAUGGACUAUUUUGUGUACUGGAUUGAGCUAUAUUUUAAAGUAGACAGGAUGAAAACUUAAUGUUUCUCCUCUGACAACUGGGGAUUGUAAAGAAGAAUGGGUUAGUUACAGUUCAAAUAAGGAAACUCCCUCUUUUCUGUAUGUCCAACGGUUGUGAGAGAAAUCUGUGACCCCCUCCACAUUAUUGCUAAUGAAUAUGAGCUCACUGGUGAAAACUCUGGAAAAUACAGGUAAGCUAAAAGGAAAAUCAGCAAACAUCUCUAGUCCCAUCACUUCCCUUUUUGUUUUAAUAAAUAUCUGUCCAGUCAUGUGACUGUAGGUGUUAUAUGUGUGUGUGUGUUUAUUUCUACGAGUGAAAUUACAGUGUCCUAUUGUUUUAAAAUUUGCUUUUAACCCUGAAUUACAUCACAAAUACCCUCCAAAUGAAAGCAUCGAGGCAGUCUUCAGUGUGAUCAGGUCAUGAACAAUGCCUUGAUGAGUGUCCUGAUCGCUGAUAUUUCUACACAGCCACAGCUCUUGCCUUGACUACUGCCCCACUCCAUCCUAUGUCCUGCCAGCAUCUGUGAAAUCCCACGGAUGCAUCCCAUGUCCCUUCCCAUCAACCCACCCAUCCACCCUGCUCUUUCUCCCUCCUGAUAACCCACCUUGCCACUCGGGGAAGAAUUAGAGGAAGAGAGUUUAACCUCACUUCAGUCCUGUUGAGCAUUUCCACAUUCCGCUGAUUGGGAAACGGUAGGUCCUCUCUCUUGGUUGGGAGUGGGGUUCUCCGCUUGUCUCCCUCAAGAUUUAAGAGGUGAAAAGGCCACCUGGUGGUUUCCUGUUUAUGGAAACCUCCUCUUUCCUCACCUCUCCUUCCUGUCCUCUUCUUCCUGUCUUUGCCUUCACGUGCCCCCUGCAGUUUCCGGCUGUGUCCUGACAUGGAGGCUUCUCUGAGCUCAUGGUAUCCAGAGAGGUUCUUCUCUCCAGAGGUGACUGCUGUUACCAUUUUCUUGUGGAGACGACUAUGCCUUUAACGUCCAAUAAGGUAGCUGUGGCCAUGUGUGCUGACUUGUGUGUAGCCAUACAACACUUGAAAUGUGGCUAAUCUGAAUUGAGAUGUGCUACAAGUGUAAAACG